ACGGAAGGCAGCAGUAGGGAAUCUUCGGCAAUGGGGGCAACCCUGACCGAGCAACGCCGCGUGAGUGAAGAAGGUUUUCGGAUCGUAAAGCUCUGUGGUAAGAGAAGAACGGGUGGGAGAGUGAAAAGUUCACACAGUGACGGUAACUUACCAGAAAGGGACGGCUAACUACGUGCCAGCAGCCGCGGUAAUACGUAGGUCCCGAGCGUUGUCCGGAUUUAUUGGGCGUAAAGCGAGCGCAGGCGGCUUAAUAAGUCCGAAGUAAAAGGCCGUGGCUUAACCACUGUUUGCUUUGGAAACUGUUAGACUUGAGUGCAGAAGGGGAGAGUGGAAUUCCAUGUGUAGCGGUGAAAUGCGUAGAUAUAUGGAGGAACACCGGUGGCGAAAGCGGCUCUCUGGUCUGUAACUGACGCUGAGGCUCGAAAGCGUGGGGAGCAAACAGGAUUAGAUACCCUGGUA
rnacentral:rRNA from 1 species